rnacentral:rRNA from 1 species
GACGUAGGGUGCGAGCGUUGUCCGGAUUUAUUGGGCGUAAAGAGCUCGUAGGCGGCUUGUUGCGUCGACUGUGAAAACCCGCGGCUUAACCGCGGGCUUGCAGUUGAUACGGGCAGGCUAGAGUUCGGUAGGGGAGACUGGAAUUCCAGGUGUAGCGGUGAAAUGCGUAGAUAUCUGGAGGAACACCGGUGGCGAAGGCGGCAUCCUGGACCGACACUGACACUGAGGAGCGAAAGCCAGGGGAGCAAACGGG